GGCGCAGUGGUACAGUAGUUAGUACAGCUGCCUCGCCAUACGGAGGUUCUGGGUUCGAGCUCCAGCUGGCCA